CGGGUUGUAAAGCACUUUCAGUAGGGAGGAAGGUAGUGUAGUUAACACCUGCAUUAUUUGACGUUACCUACAGAAGAAGCACCGGCUAACUCCGUGCCAGCAGCCGCGGUAAGUACGGAGGUGCGAGCGUUAAUCGGAAUUACGUGGGACGUAAAGCGCAUGCAGGCGGCCUGUUAAGUCAGAUGUAGAAAGGCCCGGGGACGUUAACCGUACGGUAAUUGCUAUUUAGUAAACUGGCAGGCUAGAGUCUUGUAGAGGGGGGUAGGAAUUUCAGGUGUAGCGGUGAAAUGCGUAGAGAUCUGAAGGAAUACCAGUGGCGAAGGCGGCCCCCUGGACAAAGACUGACGCUCAGAUGCGAAAGCGUGGGGAGCAAACAGGAUUAGAUACCCUGGUAG
rnacentral:rRNA from 1 species